rnacentral:snRNA from 1 species
GUGCUCGCUUCGGCGGCACAUAUACUGAAACUGGAAUGAUGCAGAGAAGAUUAGCAUGGCCCCUGCGCAAGGAUGACGUGCAAAUUUGUGAAGCGUUCCAUAUUUUU